rnacentral:rRNA from 1 species
UACGGAGGGUGCAAGCGUUAUCCGGAUUCACUGGGUUUAAAGGGUGCGUAGGUGGAUAGGGAAGUCCGUGGUGAAAUCCUGCAGCUUAACUGCAGAACUGCCGUGGAUACUCUCUAUCUUGAAUAUCGUGGAGGUUAGCGGAAUAUGUCAUGUAGCGGUGAAAUGCUUAGAUAUGACAUAGAACACCCAUUGCGAAGGCAGCUAACUACGCGAUCAUUGACGCUGAUGCACGAAAGCGUGGGGAGCAAACAGG